rnacentral:rRNA from 1 species
UACAGAGGGGGCAAGCGUUAUUCGGAAUUAUUGGGCGUAAAGGGCGCGUAGGCGGCCGUGCAAGUGGAUGGUGAAAUCCCCCGGGCUUAACCUGGGAACUGCCGUCCAAACUGCUUGGCUUGAGUCCGGGAGAGGUGAGUGGAAUUCCCAGUGUAGCGGUGAAAUGCGUAGAUAUUGGGGAGGAACACCAGUGGCGAAGGCGGCUCACUGGGCCGGAACUGACGCUGAGGCGCGAAAGCGUGGGUAGCAAACGGG